CCUACGGGAGGCAGCAGUGAGGAAUAUUGGUCAAUGGGCGUAAGCCUGAACCAGCCAAGUCGCGUGAGGGAUGAAGGUUCUAUGGAUCGUAAACCUCUUUUAUAAUGGAAUAAAGUGUGGGACGUGUCCUAUUUUGUAUGUACCUUAUGAAUAAGGACCGGCUAAUUCCGUGCCAGCAGCCGCGGUAAUACGGAGGAUCCGAGCGUUAUCCGGAUUUAUUGGGGUUAAAGGGUGCGUAGGCGGCAUUUUAAGCCAGCGGUGAAAGGCUGGGGCUCAACCAUGGAAUUGCCGUUGAAACUGGGGGGCUUGAGUAUGUUGAAGGCAGGCGGAAUGCGUGGUGUAGCGGUGAAAUGCUUAGAUAUCACGCAGAACCCCGAUUGCGAAGGCAGCAUGCCAAGCCAUGACUGACGCUGAUGCACGAAAGCGUGGGGAUCAAACAGGAUUAGAUACCCUUGUAGUC
rnacentral:rRNA from 1 species